UACGUAGGGUGCAAGCGUUGUCCGGAAUUAUUGGGCGUAAAGGGCUCGUAGGCGGUCCAUCACGUCGGGAGUGAAAAGCUGGGCUUAACCCAGUCCUGCUUCCGAUACGGGUGGACUAGAGGUAGGCAGGGGAGAACGGGAAUUCCUGGUGUAGCGGUGAAAUGCGCAGAUAUCAGGAGGAACACCGGUGGCGAAGGCGGUUCUCUGGGCCGAUACUGACGUGAGGAGCGAAAGCGUGGGGAGCGAACAGG
rnacentral:rRNA from 1 species